UGAUCUGAAAACAGGCGGGAUUACCCGCUGAACUUAA
rnacentral:rRNA from 1 species